rnacentral:rRNA from 1 species
GACGUAGGGGGCAAGCGUUGUUCGGAAUUACUGGGCGUAAAGGGCGCGUAGGCGGCCUUCUAAGUCGAACGUGAAAUCCCCGGGCUCAACCCGGGAACUGCGUCCGAUACUGGAAGGCUUGAAUCCGGGAGAGGGAUGCGGAAUUCCAGGUGUAGCGGUGAAAUGCGUAGAUAUCUGGAGGAACACCGGUGGCGAAGGCGGCAUCCUGGACCGGUAUUGACGCUGAGGCGCGAAAGCCAGGAGAGCAAACGGG